UGAACCACACCAACCCAUCCCUUCACUCCUUUUCCUUUCUUUUUCUCUCAUUCCAUUCACAUUCUCAACCCAACACACAAGUUCCAACCAUAUUCUCUCGCCACUUCCUCACAUGGACGCAAAGAGAACCCUAGAGCUCACGGUUUUAUCGUUGGAGGAGCUCCACGUGGACUGGAAGCACGCCGCGGAGAGCCUCUACGUGGUGGUACGGGCAGAGUCCAUCACCAGCUACUCCACGGGCACGGCCACCGAAAGCGGUGGCAACCCGUCGUGGAACGAGAAGCUGGUAGUUGACGUGCCCGUGCAUGCGAGGUCCAUCACGCUGGAGGUGAAGUGCAAGGAUGCCCCCAGCGUGAAGGACCUCGGCAUCGCGAGGAUAGCCAUCUCGGAUUUCCUUGGUGGCGGCACGAUGGCGCCGGAGCAGUGUUUGCAAUUUUUGAGCUACAGGUUGAGGGAUUGGGAAGGGAGGCGCAGUGGGGUGAUUAAUUUUUCCGUUAGGGUUAGGGCUACGGAGAAGGCAUGUUCUUGCUCCGGGGACGUUGUUAUUGGCGUUCCCAUUUUGUGGAACAGGUAAAGGUGUGUUUGGAGUUGCGGUGCGGUGGUGCCAAAUCGAUCACGUUGAAGCACUCUUUAUUUUCACUUCCGUUUUUUUUCUCACGUCGAAAACACGAUUUCUUCCACCCAUGGGUGUAUAUGGCACAAGUGUCUACAAUUAUUAAUAGAAUUAUCUACGUUUGUGUUUGCAGGCAGAAUUAGAAUGAAGCUUAGUCACAUGCGUUUCGGUGCAUGUGCAGCACAUGGAAUUCGGGUCUAUGAAUACAAGCUUCACCAGUUAGUUAUAUAUUCAUAGUCUCUUUCAAUAAAAUAGGUACUCCUCUUAAUUAUAAGAAGAAGUGUAAAUGUUUUUUUUUUUGUUUCUAUUUAGAGAGAUGUAACUUUCUUCUACGUAUUUAGUGAGAAAAAUUCUAUUACUUAUUAUUUUUUCUU